CCUGGAGGGAAAGAGAGGAGAAGUUAUUAGAUUCAAGAUGUGUUUUGAAAGAACGUCAUGCUUGUGCACAAAGGUGGUUUUCUAGAGAGAGACUGCUCUAUUUUACUAAAUCCCAGAUUAAAAACAAC